GACGAACGCUGGCGGCGUGCUUAACACAUGCAAGUCGAACGGUGAAGCGCCUUCCUUUUUGGUGGGUGUGGAUGAGUGGCGAACGGGUGAGUAACACGUGAGUAACCUGCCCCCUUCUUCUGGAUAACCGCAUGAAAGUGUGGCUAAUACGGGAUAUUCUGGGUCUGUCGCAUGAUGGGUCUGGGAAAGAUAUUGUUUCGGUGGGGGAUGGGCUCGCGGCCUAUCAGCUUGUUGGUGGGGUGAUGGCCUACCAAGGCGGUGACGGGUAGCCGGCCUGAGAGGGUGGUGGGCGACACUGGAGAUGAGCCACGGCCCAGCCCCAGCGGGGAGGGGGCGGGGGGGAAUAUGGAACAAGGGGGGCAGGUGUGAGGCGGCGGCGCCGGGUGGGGGAGGGGGGCCUUGGGGUGGGGAAGCUCUUUGGCCGGUGAAGAGGGCCGGCCUUGUUUUUGGGUGGGUGGAGGGGAGCUGGAGAAGAAGCGGCGGCGAAUUGCGU
rnacentral:rRNA from 1 species